rnacentral:rRNA from 1 species
UACGAAGGGUGCAAGCGUUAAUCGGAUUUAUUGGGCGUAAAGGGCGCGUAGGCGGAAAAGUAAGUCAUGUGUGAAAUCCUAGGGCUCAACCCUAGAACAGCAUUUGAAACUACUUUUCUCGAGGAUGGACGGAGAAAGUGGAAUUCCAUGUGUAGCGGUGAAAUGCGUAGAUAUAUGGAAGAAUACCAGUGGCGAAGGCGACUUUCUAGUUUUUACCUGACGCUGAGGCGCGAAAGCAAGGGGAGCAAACAGG